GUUUUUUAACAGGGGAUUGCUAAUAUUCACCGAUGUGUAUUAGGAAACUCUACCAAAAUUUUAAGAGAAAGAAUGAGUUGGUCUUCUUGAUGAUAAUUCUCCCGCUCUCAGCAAAAGUUUAUAAACAGUGUCAAUUCUUCACCAAAGGUGCCUUAUUUCGCAAACCAUGUUUUGGGAGCAUAAGGGAUGUAUGCUUCUGUUGAACACAACCAACACCACACCAUCGAAACCCCAAUGAACAGCGUAAACCCCAGCGACAGAGGACGACUUGCCAUCAUCGUCGGGGAGAGUGUGAGCCAUGCCAGACGCAAUUGGUUUGAUGUCAACGGCUUGGAGAGUAGUCUGAGCUGAAGGGGAGGGGGUGUAGGAAUUCUGGAAAAAAAGAGGAAUUUCAAAGGUUGGUGGUGCCAAUAGCUCUAUUGGCCCAUAAAAAACCCAUAUAAACAAAAAAUAUCCAAUUGGAUGUACUUAUAAACUUCAUGGAAGCCCAACUUUUGCUUUAUUUUUUCAAUUUAUUUUAUAUUU